rnacentral:rRNA from 1 species
AACGAACGCUGGCGGCAUGCCUAACACAUGCAAGUCGAACGAGACCUUCGGGUCUAGUGGCGCACGGGUGCGUAACGCGUGGGAACCUGCCCUUAGGUUCGGCAUAACUCCCCGAAAGGGGUGCUAAUACCGGAUAAUGUCUUCGGACCAAAGAUUUAUCGCCUUUGGAUGGGCCCGCGUUGGAUUAGCUAGUUGGUAGGGUAAAAGCCUACCAAGGCGACGAUCCAUAGCUGGUCUGAGAGGAUGAUCAGCCACACUGGGACUGAGACACGGCCCAGACUCCUACGGGAGGCAGCAAUGGGGAAUAUUAGACAAGGGGCGAAAGCCUAAUCCAGCAAUGCCGCGUGAGUUAUGAAGGCCUUAGGGUUGUAAAGCUCUUUUACCCGGGAUGAUAAUGACAGUACCGGGAGAAUAAGCUCCGGCUAACUCCGUG